AGAAGAAGAACAAGGAACAAACCCUUGUUCAACCUUAAUCCAUCAAAUUGGAGGAUGAAUUAGGGCAAAUCACAUGCAUGAACAUAAAUUCGUGAUUAUCUAAGCUUGGAGAUCAUAAGUUUGACGCUUGACAAGCUAGGUGGACGCUUGGGAAGAAGCGGGUCAAGAAGAUCAAAUACGCGGGAAAAACAUAAUCGGAUGCAAGUCACGGAUGGAGAUCAAGCUCAAGGAAGAACCGAACACGACCAAGUUAAAGCUUCCGCACUUUGUUUUGUUAUUACGAAACGAAUCAAUGAUAACACAUUUAAUUGUUUAAUUUUUAUAAAGUUUUAAUAAACUCUUUUUAUCGUACGA